GUUGCCAGCCCGCUCAGAAACUACAAAGGAAUUAGACGGGGCCCGCGACAAGCGGAGGAGCAUGUGGUUAAUUCGAUGAUACGCGAGGAACCUUACCUGGGCUCGAACGUAAGAUGACUGUAGGUGAAAGCUUACAUCUCUUCGGAGCAUUUUACGAGGUGCUGCAUGGUUGUCGUCAGCUCGUGCCGUGAGGUGUCGGGUUAAGUCCCAUAACGAGCGCAACCCCUAUCUUUAGUUGCCAUCAGGUUAAGCUGGGGACUCUAAAGGAACUGCCUACGCAAGUAGUGAGGAAGGCGGGGAUGACGUCAAAUCAGCACGGCCCUUACGUCCAGGGCUACACACGUGCUACAAUGGCCGAUACAGAGGGCAGCUACCUGGUGACAGGAUGCAAAUCUCCAAAGUCGGUCUCAGUUCGGAUCGGAGUCUGCAACCCGACUCCGUGAAGUUGGAUUCGCUAGUAAUCGCGCAUCAGCCAUGGCGCGGUGAAUACGUUCCCGGGCCUU
rnacentral:rRNA from 1 species